CGGGGGGAGCAAGCGUUGUUCGGAUUUACUGGGCGUAAAGGGCGCGUAGGCAGCCACCGCAAGUCGACUGUGAAAUCUCCGGGCUUAACCCGGAAAGGUCAGCCGAUACUGCGGGGCUAGAGUGCAGAAGGGGCAACUGGAAUUCUUGGUGUAGCGGUGAAAUGCGUAGAUAUCGAGAGGAACACCUGCGGCGAAGGCGGGUUGCUGGGCUGACACUGACGCUGAGGCGCGAAAGCUAGGGGAGCGAACGGGAUUAGAUACCCCGGUAGUCCUAGCCUUAAACGAUGAAUGCUUGGUGUCUGGGGUUUUAUAGUCCCCGGGUGCCGUCGCUAACGCUUUAAGCAUUCCGCCUGGGGAGUACGGUCGCAAGACUG
rnacentral:rRNA from 1 species